AGAACGAACGCUGGCGGCAGGCUUAACACAUGCAAGUCGAGCGCCCCGCAAGGGGAGCGGCAGACGGGUGAGUAACGCGUGGGAACAUACCCUCCGGUUCGGAAUAGCUCAGGGAAACUUGGAUUAAUACCGGAUACGGCCUAGCGGCGAAAGAUUCAUCGCCGGAGGAUUGGCCCGCGUCUGAUUAGCUAGUUGGUGGGGUAAUGGCCCACCAAGGCGACGAUCAGUAGCUGGUCUGAGAGGAUGAUCAGCCACAUUGGGACUGAGACACGGCCCAAACUCCUACGGGAGGCAGCAGUGGGAAUAUUGACAAUGGGCGCAAGCCUGAUCCAGCCAUGCCGCGUGAGUGAUGACGGCCUUAGGGUUGUAAAGCUCUUUCGCUAGGGACGAUAAUGACGGUACCUAGACAAGAACGCCCGGCUAACUUCGUGCCAGCAGCCGC
rnacentral:rRNA from 1 species